GACGAACCGUGCAAACGUUAUUCGGAAUCACUGGGCUUAAAGCGCGUGUAGGCGGGAGGGCACGUCCGUCGUUGAAAUCCCCCGGCUCAACCGGGGAACGGGCGCGGAUACGACCUUCCUGGAGGGGCGUAGGGGGACCUGGAACUUCCGGUGGAGCGGUGAAAUGCGUUGAGAUCGGAAGGAACGCCCGUGGCGAAAGCGAGGUCCUGGACGCCUACUGACGCUGAGACGCGAAAGCCAGGGGAGCGAACGGG
rnacentral:rRNA from 1 species